rnacentral:rRNA from 1 species
CAAGUCGAACGAGAAAGUGGAGCAAUCCAUGAGUAAAGUGGCGUACGGGCUGAGUAACACGUGGAUCAUCUACCCUCUAGUGGGGAAUACCGCUGGGAAACCGGCGACAAUACCGCAUAAGCUCGAGAGAGGAAAGCAGCAAUGCGCUGGAGGAGGAGUCCGCGGUCGAUUAGUUAGUUGGCAGGGUAAAAGCCUACCAAGACUGUGAUCGAUAGCCGGCCUGAGAGGGCACACGGCCACACUGGCACUGAAACACGGGCCAGACUCCUACGGGAGGCAGCAGUGGGGAAUCUUGCACAAUGGGGGCAACCCUGAUGCAGCGACGCCGCGUGAGUGAUGAAGCCCCUCGGGGUGUAAAGCUCUUUCGGCAGGGACGAUUAUGACGGUACCUGCAAAAGCAGCUGCGGCUAACUACGUGCCAGCAGCCGCGGUAAUACGUAGGCAGCAAGCGUUGUUCGGAGUUACUGGGCGUAAAGGGUGCGUAGGCGGCUUUUUAAGUUUGGUGUGAAAUCUCCCGGCUCAACUGGGAGGGUGCGCCGAAUACUGAGAGGCUAGAGUGUGGGAGAGGAAAGUGGAAUUCCUGGUGUAGCGGUGAAAUGCGUAGAUAUCAGGAGGAACACCGGUGGUGUAAACGGCUUUCUGGACCAUAACUGACGCUGAGGCACGAAAGCGUGGGUAGCAAACAGGAUUAGAUACCCUGGUAGUCCACGCCCUAAACGAUGCAUAUUUGGUGUGGGCCAUUCAUUUGGUCCGUGCCGGAGCUAACGCGUUAAAUAUGCCGCCUGGGGAGUACAGUCGCAAGGCUGAAACUCAAAGG